CGAGUGUAGUAAGACCAGUGUAAGAAUAAAAAACAAACCUUGGACUUCGUUCUGGGCAGUCGACGUGAUCCGACUCCUCUCUCCUAAUAUACAUUAUUAUAAUUCAAUAUCGUUUAAUCAUCGAGUGAAGACAUAAUCGUCUACAAAUACUUGGCAUUCUUCGGCGCCCGUAUUUUUGAAUAAGUCAAAGAUUCCUCAUUAUCAGAAAUUUGUGGGGUUAUUCCGGCACCUGGUAAAGAGAGAUAGGCGUUACAAUUUCGCCCGUCACGGUACAGCCAUAUUAGAGGAGUUUGCUGUGUGCUUAUUGCGUAGUUACUUGUAACAAUAUCGAAGAAAAUCCUAAUUGAAUCGCGCCCAUAUAACCUAAGAGUUACUUGUAAACCACGAGGAUCGCUAUUCAAUAAACUGUUGGCCUAUGAAAAGAUAUUAUUUUCAACAAUACCAAAGAAAAUUCCAAUUAAGUUGCCCAUAUAACCAAAGAGUUACUUGUAUACCACGAGGAUCGCUAUUCAAUAAACUGUUGGCCUAUGAAAAGAGAUUAUUUUCAACAAUACCAAAGAAAAUUCCAAUUGAGUUGCCCAUAUAACAAACUCGCCAAUUUCAAAGUUCCGAAGAAAUUGAAACUAUUGACAUUUGGUGUAAUCUUCCACUGAAAGAUGAAAGAAGUCUACAAGAAUUAGAAAUUAAGCUUAAGGAGAACGAAAAUUAUAGGAAAAAAAUGAUUAAGGAGUUUGCAAAUUUAGGAGGCCAAAAUGUGAAAACUUCAGCUUUAAAACUAAUGCGGAAAAUAUUUACAAACGAACUCGCCGUUCAAUAUAGCUGGGUCGGAGGCAAAAAGAAAAAUAUUUUUGUGGACUUAAUGAUAUGCAAAGUUAUACUUAGUGCGUUGAGAAAACAUUAUCAAAAUUCCACGGAGGAAUAACUGUCAGCUCCGAUAAAAAUUUGGCUCGCUCACGCCAAAGAGCGAUGUUCAAAAGCUACGCUUAACACGCAGAAUUAAUUUUGUUUUUCGCAAUUUUUUUGUUGCGCUGUAAUAAGUUAUAUAAAAUAAUAAAAUUUCUCCUGUAUUUUAUAUAAAUUAUAUAAAAUAUUU
rnacentral:lncRNA from 1 species